rnacentral:rRNA from 1 species
UGGCCGCGGGANUAGAGUUUGAUCCUGGCUCAGGAUGAGCGCUGGCGGCGUGCUUAACACAUGCAAGUCGAACGAACCUUCGGGUUAGUGGCGGACGGGUGAGUAACGCGUGAGAAUCUGCCCUCAGGAGGGGGAUAACGGUUGGAAACGACCGCUAAUACCCCAUAUGCCGCGAGGUGAAAUGAAUUUCGCCUGAGGAUGAGCUCGCGUCUGAUUAGCUAGUUGGUGGGGUAAUGGCCUACCAAGGCAUCGAUCAGUAGCUGGUCUGAGAGGAUGAUCAGCCACACUGGGACUGAGACACGGCCCAGACUCCUACGGGAGGCAGCAGUGGGGAAUUUUCCGCAAUGGGCGAAAGCCUGACGGAGCAACGCCGCGUGAGGGAUGAAGGCCUCUGGGCUGUAAACCUCUUUUCUCAAGGAAGAAGAUCUGACGGUACUUGAGGAAUAAGCCACGGCUAAUUCCGUGCCAGCAGCCGCGGUAAUACGGGAGUGGCAAGCGUUAUCCGGAAUUAUUGGGCGUAAAGCGUCCGCAGGCGGCCUUUCAAGUCUGCUGUUAAAGCGUGGAGCUUAACUCCAUCAUGGCAGUGGAAACUGUUGGGCUUGAGUGUGGUAGGGGCAGAGGGAAUUCCCGGUGUAGCGGUGAAAUGCGUAGAUAUCGGGAAGAACACCAGUGGCGAAGGCGGUUCUCUGGGCCUUUCCUGACGCUGAGGAGCGAAAGCGUGGGGAGCGAACAGGCUUAGAUACCCUGGUAGUCCACGCUGUAAACGGUGGGUACUGGGUGUGGGGUCCAUUCCACGGGUUCCGUGCCGUAGCUAACGCUUUAAGUACCCCGCCUGNGGAGUACGGCCGCAAGGCUAAAACUCAAAGGAGUUGACGGGGCCCCGCACAAGCGGCGGAGCAUGCG